GUCGCAAACCCGCGAGGGUGAGCUAAUCGCAGAAAGUCCGUCUCAGUUCGGAUUGUAGGCUGCAACUCGCCUGCAUGAAGUCGGAAUCGCUAGUAAUCGCGGAUCAGCAUGCCGCGGUGAAUACGUUCCCGGGCCUUGUACACACCGCCCGUCACAUCACGAAAGCUGGCUGUACUAGAAGUAGCUUCGCCAACCCGCAAGGGGGGCUGGUUCCUAAGGUAUGGUCAGUGAUUGGGGUG
rnacentral:rRNA from 1 species